CUCUGACUCCCAAGUUCAAGCAAUUCUCCUGCCUCAGCCUCCCGAGUAGCUGAGAUUACAGGUUGCUCUGGCUAGAACUUCUGCAGUGCAGCUUUGAGAAAGCCUCUGAGGUGCUGGGUCUGGGGCAUGGUAGAGAGAUCCAUGUAACAGGAAGAAAGAAAGUGGCAGCCCAGGUCCAUGCCUGAGUCUCCUGGUGAGACACGGAAUCCUUCCAGCAGACUGAAGUGACCAGAAAUGCCCCGAAAGAGGGUGGCCCUGCCUCUGCUUCCAGUCUGCAGUCUGCACCUCGCUGAGCUUACUGUCAGUGUCUCUCCCACUUUGUCUCAGCCUUUGCUUCCAGUCUGCAGUCUGCACCUGGCUGAGCUUUACUGUCCCUGUCCCCCCACCUUGUCUCAGGCGCUGCACAAUAGAGGUUCAGAAGCUGAUUGGACCUGAGCUGGUACUGGGACCGGGAACAAAGAGACAGAAACUUGUGAACCUGACCCAGCAAUAAGGGGUUGGGGAAGGUGAGCAGGGAUUCCAGGUUCUGUGAACGGGGUCCACCAGAGUAAACGGAUUGUGUCCAAGAUGAGUUAGAAUGUCUUGAGAUGAACCUGGAUGCUUUGGAAAUAGCUAGGGAGAGCAACAGAAGUCACAAGUGAGUCUGGUUGUGACACAGGACUCUUUCGGGGCCACUUUGCCAGCUGGAGACCUCCAUGCCGGCAGCGCCCCUGCCCAAGGCCUCACGGCUCCAGGCUGUUGGAGGUACCUGCCCACUCGACCUGGCAGGCUGCAUCUGGCUUGUGCUUCAGGCUGGAUCCCACACUCGCCAUAGGAUCUGCACUCGGCCUGCGGCUGGGCCAGGCGUGCCACCACCUGCUUCCACCUUGGGUGCCAACGUCUGGAUGAGAGGAACGUGGUGGCUCCUGAAAAACCUGGAGACACCAGAAACCCUGGAUCCCCAAAGGAGGUGUUAGUCUUCCUGUCCGUGCUGUGGGUGUGAAGGUGCGUGCUGCACAUCCCGGUUUCCAGCACGGGACAGACUCAGAGAGGCACCUGCUGGGAGUCUCAGGCGAUGGGACCCAGUGGCGGGCAUGUGGGCAGCUGCCCCAGGUGAAAGGGAUCUUGGCACAGCUCUUGGUUUCCCAGGCUGGCCCUGACCUUCGUGCUUUCCCGCCCACGGCCCAGACACCUGAGCUCCAUGUUGGGGAUGCUCAGGGACAACCCUUCAGCCUCCCCCACCGUGUCCCGGCUACUGCCCAGGGUUCUUGUUCUCUGGAGGGUGGAUCCAGCCCUCCCCAUCUUGGUGCCCUACCAGGGCCAGGCUUCCCAUGGCUCUUUCUGCAGCCCCUGGCAUGGACUGUGGGGUGCACAGCCCAGGGAGCAGUGGGCCUUGGAGGGGCCAGGUAUGCAUGUUCCCACCCCCACCAUGGAGUUUGACACACCAGUGGGCAGGUAACUCAAUCCCCCCUCACCUUCUCUUCAUCUGUUAGGGGUGACAAGGUGCUCCCAGUGGGGCCAAGAGGAUGCAGCACCCCCCCGGCUCCCCCUCUGGCCACACCCUUCUCUCAUGGCCCACCUUCUGAGCUGGCAGGGCUUCCUUCCUGGCUUCUGCUGGGCAGUGUAUUAGGGUCCUCUAGAAAGACAAAACCAGUAAUAGAGUUUAGGAGAGGGGAUUUUUAUUUAUUUUUUUGAGAGAGAGUCUUGCCCUGUCACCCAGGCUAGAGUGCAGUGGCUCGAUCUCAGCUCACUGCAACUUCUACCUCCCAGGUUAAAGCGAUUCUCCUGCCUCAGACUCCCAAGUAGCUAGGAUUACAGCCACCACCACGCCCAGCUAAUUUUUGUAUUUUUAGUAGAGACAGGGUUUCACCAUGUUGGCCAGGCUGGUCUCAAACUCCUGACCUCAGGUGAUCCGCCUACCUCUGCCUCCCAAAAUGCUGGGAUUAUAGGCAGGAGCCACAGUGCCCGGCCAGGAGAGCGGUUUUAUUAGGGGAACUGGCCUACAUACUUAUGGAGGCUGAGAAGUCUUCCCAUAGGCUGUCUGCAAGCUGGAGACCCAGAGAAGCCAUUAGUGAGGCUCAGUCCAGGUAAGAAGGCGGUUGAACCAAGAAGCCAGCGGUGUAACUCUCAUUCUGAGGCUGACUGGCCAGGAGCCCUGGGAGGCCUCUGUGGCAAGCCUGAGUCCAAAGGCCGAAGAAUCUGGAGUCCUGAUGUCCAAGGGCAGGAGAUGGGUGUCUCCCUCCAGAAAAGAGAAUAUGCUUCUCUUCUCCCUUUGUGUUCCAUCUGGGCCCCCAGCCAGUUGGAUGUGCCUGCCCACACAGGGCAGAUCUUCACCGAGUCCACUGAAAACAUCCUCACACUCAGAAACAAUGCUUAGCCAGCUGCCAGAUGCAGUGUGUGUGUCUUAGUCCCAGCUCCUCAGGAGGCUGAGGUGGGAGAAAGGAGCCCGGGAGCUCGAGGCUGCGGCGAGCCACAACUGUGCCACCGCACUCCAGGCUGGCUGACAGAGA